rnacentral:rRNA from 1 species
AACGUAGGAGACAAACGUUAUCCGGAGUUACUGGGCGUAAAGGGCGUGCAGGUGGUCUGUUAAGUCUGGCGUGAAAGCUCUCGGCUAAACCGGGAGAGGUCGUUGGAUACUGGCGGACUAGAGGACGGUAGAGGCGUGUGGAAUUCCGGGUGUAGUGGUGAAAUGCGUAGAUAUCGGGAGGAACACCUGUGGCGAAGGCGGCUUUCUGGGCCUUACCUGACGCUGAGACGCGAAAGCGUGGGGAGCGAACCGG